rnacentral:rRNA from 1 species
GCUACGGGUGGCUGCAGUGGGGAAUAUUGCACAAUGGGGGAAACCCUGAUGCAGCGACGCCGCGUGAGUGAAGAAGUAUUUCGGGAUGUAAAGCUCUAUCAGCAGGGAAGAAAAGGACGGUACCUGACUAAGAAGCCACGGCUAACGACGUGCCAGCAGCCGCGGUAAUACGUAGGGGGCAAGCGUUAUCCGGAUUGACUGGGUGUAAAGGGAGCGUAGACGGCGCGGCAAGUCUGAAGUGAAAGGCCGGGGCUUAACCCCUGAACUGCUUUGGAAACUGCCAUGCUAGAGUGCUGGAGAUGUAAGUGGCCUUCCUCGUGUCGCGGUGCCUUGCGUCGAUCUUCGGAGGAACACCAGUGGCGCAGGCGGCUUACUGGACCGUACCUGACGUUGAGGCUCGACCGCGUGGGGAGCAAACAGGAUUAGAUACCCGGGUAGUC